CUCCUACGGGAGGCUGCAGUGAGGAAUAUUGCGCAAUGGGCGAAAGCCUGACGCAGCGACGCCGCGUGGACGAUGAAGGUCUUCGGAUCGUAAAGUCCUUUUCUGCGUGACGAGGAAGGACGGUAGCGCAGGAAUAAGUGUCGGCUAACUACGUGCCAGCAGCCGCGGUAACACGUAGGACGCAAGCGUUAUCCGGAAUUACUGGGCGUAAAGGGCGUGUAGGCGGCACGGUAAGUCAACCGUGAAAGCUCCCGGCUAAACUGGGAGAGGUCGGAUGAGACUGCCGAGCUAGAGGGUCGUAGAGGGGUGUGGAAUUCCGGGUGUAGUGGUGAAAUGCGUAGAGAUCCGGAGGAACACCAGAGGCGAAGGCGGCACCCUGGACGACACCAGACGCUGAGACGCGACAGCACGGGGAGCGAACGGGAUUAGAAACCCCGGUAGUCCGUGCCGUAAACGAUGUGCACUAGAUGUUCGGUCCUCUACGGGGGAGUGAGCGUCGCAGCCAACGCGGUAAGUGCACCGCCUGGGGGAGUACGGUCGCAAGGCUAAAACUCAAAGGAAUUGACGGGGCCCCGCACAAGCAGCGGAGCGUGUGGUUUAAUUCGAGGCUACGCGAAGAACCUUACCUAGGUUUGACAUCCCCUGACCGCGUAUGAAAGUACGAAUCCGAAAGGCAGGGAGACAGGUGCUGCAUGGCUGUCGUCAGCUCGUGUCGUGAGAUGUUCGGUUAAGUCCGAAAACGAGCGCAACCCCCGGGUCUAGUUACAAGUGUCUAGACCGACUGCCUGCGACAAGUGGGAGGAAGGUGGGGAUGACGUCAAGUCAGCAUGGCCUUUACAUCUAGGGCUACACACACGCUACAAUGGCGCGCACAAUGGGAAGCAAGACCGCGAGGUGGAGCAAAUCCUGAAAGCGCGUCGUAGUUCGGAUUGCAGGCUGCAACUCGCCUGCAUGAAGCUGGAGUUGCUAGUAAACGCAGGUCAGCACACUGCGUUGAAUACGUUCUCGGGGCUUGAUCACACCGCCCGUC
rnacentral:rRNA from 1 species